rnacentral:rRNA from 1 species
UCAUCAACGUGUGUGGGGGUAGUCAGCCGAGGGAUCAUCCUCGAGUUUACACAUCUCAAACUCCUGGGAACCANCCGGGUCACUUUCGGCCGGGGGACAAUCUGUGGCCGGGCCCGGGACCCCCGAAGCCCUCUGUGAACCAGCAUGAAGAUGGUAACACGAAGUAAUAAAUCAUAACCUUCACCAACCGACAANGGAUUUCUGGCAUCCGGCAGAGCGAAGAGCACAGCGAUCAGUAAUAUGACNUCUGCACUGCAGAAUUAAGGGAAUCAUGGAACGCUCAUUUCGGCCGGCAGUAUUAUGGCGUGCAUUCCUGUUCGAGCUUCAUUUCAACCCGCAACCAUCAAGCACGUCGUUGGGGUUGGGUGCGGUUCCACCGGGUACGCCGUCCCUUAAAUCUAGUGGCGGUCUCGCUGCAGCUUGCUCGGAGNAGUAGCACACCUCGCACCGGAGAGCAGCGCGGCCACGCCGUUACACCCCCCACUUAGGAAAGGUGACCUC